rnacentral:rRNA from 1 species
AGAGUUUGAUCCUGGCUCAGAAUCAACGCUGGCGGCGCGCUUAACACAUGCAAGUCGCACGAGAAAGCGGGAGCAAUCUCGCGAGUAAAGUGGCGUACGGGUGAGUAACACGUGGGUAAUCUACCCUUUAGUGGGGAAUAACCCUGGGAAACCGGGGCUAAUACCGCAUAAUCCCGAGAGGGGAAAGCCGAAAGGCGCUGAAGGAGGAGCCCGCGGCCGAUUAGCUAGUUGGUGGGGUAAGAGCCCACCAAGGCAAAGAUCGGUAGCCGGCCUGAGAGGGCACACGGCCACACUGGCACUGAAACACGGGCCAGACUCCUACGGGAGGCAGCAGUGGGGAAUCUUGCACAAUGGGGGAAACCCUGAUGCAGCGACGCCGCGUGAGCGAUGAAGCCCUUCGGGGUGUAAAGCUCUUUCGGCAGGGACGAAGCUUGACGGUACCUGCAGAAGCAGCUGCGGCUAACUACGUGCCAGCAGCCGCGGUAAUACGUAGGCAGCGAGUGUUGUUCGGAGUUACUGGGCGUAAAGGGUGCGUAGGCGGUCCUUUAAGUUUGGUGUGAAAUCUCCCGGCUCAACUGGGAGGGUGCGCCGGAUACUGAGGGACUAGAGUGCGGGAGAGGAAAGUGGAAUUCCUGGUGUAGCGGUGAAAUGCGUAGAUAUCAGGAGGAACACCGGUGGUGUAAACGGCUUUCUGGACCGUAACUGACGCUGAGGCACGAAAGCGUGGGGAGCAAACAGGAUUAGAUACCCUGGUAGUCCACGCCCUAAACGAUGCACGUUUGGUGUGGGUGAUUCAGUUCGUCCGUGCCGGAGCUAACGCGUUAAACGUGCCGCCUGGGGAGUACAGUCGCAAGGCUGAAACUCAAAGGAAUUGUCGGGGGCCCGCACAAGCGGUGGAGCAUGUGGUUCAAUUCGACGCAACGCGAAGAACCUUACCUGGGCUCGAACGGCCGGCUAACGGGAGCGGAAACGUUUCUACCCCGCAAGGGGGUCCGGUCGAGGUGCUGCAUGGCUGUCGUCAGCUCGUGUCGUGAGAUGUUGGGUUAAGUCCCGCAACGAGCGCAACCCCUGUGUCCUGUUGCCACCCGGCCGAGAGGCUGGAGCACUCUGGACAGACUGCCUCGCUUAAACGGGGAGGAAGGUGGGGAUGACGUCAAGUCAGGAUGGCCCUUACGGCCAGGGCUGCACACGUACUACAAUGCCUGGUACAAAGGGACGCAAGACCGCAAGGUGGAGCAAAUCUCAGAAAACCAGGCCCAGUUCAGAUUGUCGGCUGCAACUCGCCGACAUGAAGCCGGAAUCGCUAGUAAUGGCGCAUCAGCUACGGCGCCGUGAAUACGUUCCCAGGCCUUGUACACACCGCCCGUCACAUCAUGAAAGCCGGUUGUACCCGAAGUCGUUGUGCCAACCGCAAGGAAGCAGACGCCGAAGGUAUGGCUGGUGAUUGGGAUGAAGUCGUAACAAGGUAUCC